GACAAAUGACAAGGAACUGCAAAAGCAACUUACCGAAUUCAAAACAAGUUUUUUUGCACAAUUAUUUUGCUUUGUGUACAGCUAUUACAAGAAACAAGGAGGAAAUGCCUUGAUCCAUUGAAAACAAUGAUUUCUAAGUUAGUGGAACCGAGCAGGUGCAUGAAUUUGAUAUGUAGGAAUUAGACAAAACCGAUUAGGCUACACCUAUUGUGAUAUCUUUAGUUAUAUGAAAGAUAGGGACAGUGGCAAUAAAAUGGUGAUCAGCAAAAAAGACAUCAAACGAAAACGUAAGACCAACAAUGUUUCGUGUAAUUUACUCGAUGACGCCCCUAAAAGAACUAAGGUGCAAGCACAACGUAAAUUUGCACAAGGAUCAAAUGUUAGUAGUCCGGUCAUUACGCCUGUUAAGGAAAUCGAAAAGCAGGAAAGACAGAGGGUCGACGUUAUUCCUGAACCUCAAGAAUUGUUACCGAUAAAUCGUCCGCACACUGAAGAUUUUCUAACAUUCCUGUGCUUCCGUGGAACGACGAUGCUACCGCCGAACCUCAGCUUCUUUAAUGCGGCCCCAGUGGAUUCGCAUGUUCACGUCCAGCCUUUGCAGAAGGAACCGAUAACUGUUAUUCCGCCGAUUGCAAAUAUUGGUACCAGAUCGGCAGCUGGCGGUAGCGAAAGGCCGUUUAUCGCUUUCGGAGUACGUAAACGCGCAGAUCCCAUACUUGUCACCAAGCACAUGGAUAAGAAACGUAGACACGCGCUUGCUUUACAAGCUUUACGGCGCAAGUAUCAGGAGCAGAAGAUGGCAAAGAUCCGCGCGGUGACAAUAAGUAAACUGUCGGAGAAGGUGACUAGUAAGAGUGUCGUACGCACACGAUCGAUAUCUAAGAAUGAGUCGAACACAAUCAAAAAGACCAUACCACAGAAAACCAAAGUAAAGAUUAUUUCGACAAAGCACGUGAAAGUCACAACGCGUUCCUCAAUCAAAAAUCCACUGAGGACAACUUUUACAACACCAAUCCGGUCAACGAUACAGAAGAAGAUGUGUUUGAGGAGCUUUCGUGGCAGGUUUAUACAGAGAGAGCUAACAAUUAAAAAGUCCAAACGGAAAAACACCACUAAAAUUAUAAAGAAAGUUCAAACGAGGCAGACUAGGGAGAUAUCUUCUGAGUUUUCGUCGGAUGACGAUCAACCUCUUAAGAGUUUUAAAGUGAAUAAACCGAAUAAAGUUGUUACAAAAAAACGUGUUGUCCCAUCAAAGAAACCUUCAGAGAUGAGCUUUCGUGUUACUCGAGCCCAUCCGGUGUUGCUUAAAAACCACGAGCAAGGAUUUAAGCGCAAAAUUCAUAUGGUGCGAUCGACGUUAAAUCCGAAACUGCCAUACGUUAAGCUGACCGCACCGAAACUUUUAGCGACUAAGCAUAAGUCGCAGUUGGACGAAAAGCAAUCGGUUUUGGGGAAAUUAAGAAAUAAAGAGAAGGUUUUAAACUUGCGAGCGCGUAAGGUGUGCGAGAUGAAGAAAAAGAGCGGCGAUGAUAAAAAGAAAUCGGACGUGUCCCAAAAUGAUGAGAAAGAUUGCCUUGUGGAAAGAAAAGUGAAAAAGUUGAUUACGACACAGAAAAUUACGCCGGAACGAAUUACACGGACUGCUAUAACAUCUGUACCUGCAAAGAAUUUACAGAAAAAAAUGACUUGCGUCAGUAGUGAUGUUAAAAAGGCGGAUUCGUUGAAAAGUGCAGGGAAGGUGGGGGGAACCAAAAAAACUGAACCUGAGGCUAACAAAGUGAAACACGAAGGCAGCUGCAAACAGUCUGUGGAGCCGACUGAAAAACUGCAAAAGUUGAAGGAAAAGACUGAGAUCGAGUGCAUAAAACCAUCGGACCAAUUUCGUGUGAUACUGCAGAAAGAUAUUCAUGCAGUUAUUGGAAAUGCAAAGGACGUUUGUAAAGCGUCGGGAAAAGUCAAAGUUGAAACAGUCACCGACGUUCCAAAAUUGACACAACCAAAAGCGCAGACGGAGAUUUUGCUCGAGCUAGAGAAAAGUAAGGUUGACGAGACCAGUGUUGCAAAAGUAGAAGCGGAGCCUGCCAAAAAAACGCCUGUGAAAUUGGAUUCUAAGGCAGUGAAACCAAAACCAGAGACACUUCCACCAAGUACCUCAAAAAAAGUUGACAUUGAGAAAGAUUCCAAGAAGGCAGAUGCUACGCCUACUGAUCAAAAGCAGCAAAUGGAAGUGGCGGAUGUGCCAGCUGUCAAAGAUGUGCAAUCGACAGGAAAAACGGAUGGUAUUGUGAAAAAUGUUCCAGAGAAGAACACUACUAUUCCUGAUACCCUCAAAGGCAGCAAAAACAAACCAGAAAAACUGGAAGCAAAGCCUAUCAAGAAGAAGCUUGCGAAUUGUGAAGAACCUCGUAUAUCACAAAGACCAACUAGAAAAACAAAGGAGGCAGCUGCCAUUUACAUGGAAAUUCUGGGUCACAAAUUGGUCAACGAGGACGGAAUGGACGAGGAUAACAUUUCCAUUGACAGCUUUCCAGAACUUCCGAACGUGCGCAAAACUGAGCAAAGAGAAAAUGAACUAAAGGCGAUAGCAAAGUCAAAAAAUCAUGAUCUUAGCGAAGUUGAAGUUCAAAAAGUGGAAGACGAAUUAAAAUGUGUCGAAUUAUCAAAAGUGGAAUGCACCGACAUGACAAAAAUUGACGAUAAUAAACUGGACGCACUUAUUUCGAAUCCCACCCCCGAAGUCCCUCGGGUGCUUGAAGUGGUAAAGCGGGUAACAAGAGGAACAGUGCAGUCAAAAUCAAUCCCAGAUUACAGCGAUUCCGAAGAUUCGCUAAAACAAAAGGUUCCCUAUAAAGUAAAAGUGAAAAAGACAGACACAGGUAAGAGCAAAACAAAGUUGCCAAUGGACAGCUACUCGGAGGAAUCGUCGAUCUCAAAGUUAAACGUGGCGAAAAAAGUGCCCGAGAAAAUCGCGAACAUUUUUAGCGACUCUGACGAAGAGCCGCUUUCGAAAUUGACCAAAGUUAAAUCGCAAAGUGAGAAGCUUUCGGAUGUACAGACCAAGAAGGAGGUUGACACUACGCUCACUCUCAGCGGUAAACCGAAGAGGGAAUGCACGAAGAGACCUCAGAAUUAUUUACCUCUCUUCUCGUCGUCGGAGGACGAGGAAAAGUAUUACAACAGAUUUACCAAGCUAGAAACCGUGAAAAGUAAAAAGGUUCAAAGCAAAUGCGUGUCGACUACGUCCGCCGAUCUCCUAUGCAAGGAUGUGGACAAACGGUUUGGGAAAGGCAAGGUGAAUAUGUCGACUGAACAAAUCGAACAGUGGUUGAAGGAUAGCGCUUUGGCGGGUAGUUCUAUUAAGAAGGAGGAUCUGUAUAAGUUUGAUGAGAAGUCUGCCGAUUACGCGUUUGAUGGGAGCGACUCUAACUGCAAAGACGAAGGGAAGAAGCUCGCCAAAAUGCAAGCUGUCCCCGCGCCCAAAGAUGAAACGAGCCCUCCGAAGUCUUUCAAGGCCGACACUUCUCAGUGUAACCAAAAGAUCGCCGAAAAGAAGACUAUCUUUCGGAAGGAGCCGAGAACUUCCGUUCCGAAAGUGAACGCGUUCUCCGCCAAUAACGAGAGCAGCGUUUACGCGUUUGAGGCGGACAGCGAAGACGUGGUCAGUACCCCGUUUAGGCGUCCGUCGCGGAGACCAUCGAGUACUGGCACGUCCAGAUCCGAAGAUUCCUCCAAGGUUGAUGAAUCAUCGAAAUCUAAGUUUAGGUAUCCGCCCCCUUUGAAACAGGACAGCGCGAAAGCGGCGAACAAGCAGGAAGUUUCGCUCAUGUUGUCAACGGAUGAGAGUAACAGCGCCUCGAUCGCCGUACAAUUAGACAUUAAUACUGCAGAAGUAGUUGUAAAUGCCGAAAACGCGCAAUCCGAUCGCGAAGAUGGCGAACAGCUGUUUUACAUUCCUCUGCAACCCGGCAAACAAUCAUCGUCUCAAGUCAUCCAAGGUGUCGCAGUGAAGCUCGGUACCAAGGGAGCAAAUGGACCGAAUCAACGCGUCGUCAUGAGCGCGAAACUGGUAACGCAUAACCCUAUGGAAGUGCAAAAGUUAGUGGAGAAACCACUGGUGACCAUGACGUCGAUGUAUCCACCCGCAUCAACUGUUCAAAAGGCGAAAGCGACCGACGGAAAAAGUUACCUCAAAGCCGGCGCCCCUAGCAAGUCAUCCGACUACUCCGACGAUGGCAAAUACAAAAUUCCAAGCUCUCCAAGCGCAAGUUCCUCUUCCAGUACAAAGGUCACAAAGCGUCAGUGCGUCAAGACGCGCGUCAGACCGUUAGAAUUAUGCAACCCGAUCGUAACGAAUGAGUUUCCGAAAGGCGAUCGAUCGCCUAUGGUAGUGGAAGCUCCGACCUUUUAUCCGAACGAGAAGGAAUUUCAAGAUCCUUUGGAGUAUAUACAGAAAAUUCGGGUACACGCCGAACAGUUUGGUAUCUGCCGCAUUGUACCGCCCAGUAAUUUUAAACCCGAGUGUAAAGUGGCGGAUGACAUGCGGUUCACAGCGUAUAACCAGUAUGUUCAUAAGAUGCUUCAUAGAUGGGGUCCCAAUUUUAAGGAGUUCAUGGCGAUUUCAAAAUAUUUGGAAACGCAAAAUAUCACGCUAACUCAUCCUCCAUGGAUUGGAGGAAUGGAAAUCGAUUUACCUCGUCUAUAUCAGAUCGUACAAAAUCUAGGCGGUUUAAAAGAGGUGAUUGAAAAGAAAAAGUGGCCAAAGGUUUCCGAAUUGUUGAAAAUUCCGAAAUCCGCCCAAGAUAGGGUGACGAAGCUCGACGACAUCUACUGCAAGUAUCUUCUUCCGUACGACACGUUAGCAAUAGCGGAACGAGAAAAGCUAUUUGACGAAGUGGAAACCGAGUGGGCGAAACGCGAGUCGAAGACCCUACUGAAAUCGCAGCAAAACAUUAAUGCGCGCGAUGACGCCUCGACUUGUUCGGAUAAUGACUCAAACGAUGAGUCUGACGAGUGUAUCGUCAAGGGGAGGAGUAUGGCGCUUAACGCUUUCUAUCGAAUUGCCCGCAACACGAUGUGCAUGUGGUUUAAAACGAUGGAUCCUGCCGCGCACGAGGUGGAGCAAGAGUUUUGGAAACACGUCACCGUUAAACAGAAUCACAUCUGCGUUCAUUCGGGCUCAAUCGAUUCCGGUAAUUGGGGUUAUGGUUUUGCAGUUUCGAAGAAUAGCCCGUUUGCGAGGCAUGCGUGGAAUUUGAAAGUGUUGACUAACAAUAGCGCUUCAAUUUUAAGAUCAAUGGGACCUGUUAUGGGUGUCACGGUCCCAACACUGCACGUUGGUAUGGUGUUUAGUGCCUGUUGCUGGUAUAGAGAUCCGCACAGUCUACCGUGGAUAGAAUAUCUACAUACUGGUGGCAAUAAAAUUUGGUACGGAAUUCCUGAUUCGAUGAGCGAAUUGUUUCGUUCCGCACUGUUGAAGUUAGUGCCAAACUAUUGUCGGAACAAAUCACUGUGGCUGCCAUCAGACACUGCGAUGGUACCUCCGAGCUUGUUAGUUGAAAAUAAAGUGUCAUUGUGUAGAGUGAUUCAAGAGCCGGGCCAAUUCAUUGUUGUUUUUCCAAAGGCAUUCACUUCGAGCUUAUGCACCGGGUACGUUGUAUCUGAAAGUGUGUACUUUGCGCCCAUCAAUUGGCUGCAACGUGCGCAGGCGGUUUUCAAUGAGUUACAAAACAACUGCGAACCGUCAAUGUUUUCAUUGGAAAAACUGAUAAUCAGUAUCGCUAACGACGCUAGGUCUAGUGUGGAGGUUUUGAAAUUAAUUAUACCAAUUAUUGAAGCAUUUUGUGAUAAGGAGAAGUCGAGUAUUGGGAAAUUAACGCAAUUAGGCUUAACGAUCAAAGAAAGAUUUCCUUUGCCAGAAACAUCUGUAAAGAAAAGAAAACAAAUGCAAAGCGACAAUGGCGACUACGAGUGUGACGUAUGCUGUACCAAUUUAUUCAUUUCAUGGGUAAUUUAUUCGCAAGAUGGCGCUGUGUACUGUUUGAAUCACGCAAUAGAAAGCAUAGAGAGUAAGCAGAUUGAUGCGGAAAGUUGCAAAUUAUUUUUUACGUACAAUGAGAGUGAGUUAGUCGGUUUAAUUGAGAAAGUGAAAAACGUGAUUGAUGUAAAAAUGCUGAAGAAAGCCGCCUGUAAAAAUGUUUAAUUGUCAAGAGGGACGUCAUCACAUGAUAUUAUGUAGAUAGUGGUCCGGAAAACAAUAAUCGCAAAGUUAGAACAGAGUAAGUGAGGGCACUUCCAGCUUCCGCCAUGACGCAAAUCUCGAUAUUGACGUAAAAUUUAUUAAUUUGAAAAAUUCAGCAGCAUUAACUGCCUCCAAAAUGAACACAUCUUUCUAGGUCGUCGUUCCUUUAUAAAAAUAAUGCGGAGUCUUAGAAUAAUCUGCACCUGUAUUAAACUUCGGCGAUAACACGUCCUUGUCUUGAACCUAAUUAUCUUUGGAGCCGUAUCUUAUCUAGGACCGGAACAAAACAUGAGAUACACUUUUACAAAUACUACGCAAUUUUAAAUUAAUUAAUAAUCAAUUAAUUUAAUUAAUUUUAAAUGUCUUGUGAAACCGUUUUCGCUUACAUUUUACCCGUGUAGGGUCGGAAAAGAAUAACCCUACCGCAGGGGCACUGCGUGUCGUAAAAGGCGACUGAACAACGGCGGGUCCGUCGCAACCUCCUCAAAUUGUGGCAUUUUGUUUUAGAGUAGUUUGACUUUUUUUUUGUUUAGCCGCAUUAGCGAGCCCAACACAUUGGGACCAAGGGGGCUUGUUCAGGCGAUUAACCACGCUCCAGCUAUAAAUCCGUAAAGUUGGUAACCACGCAAUUUUUAUAAGGGAAGAGUUGUCUGCGCCAUCUAGAGACGUUGGUUACGUUUGGCGAUCACGAAAACAUCGCUUGUAAAAGUUUGUUGUUAUUUUUGUGUUAUUUAAUGCAGGUAGUAAUCUUUGCAUUUCUUUAUAAUGUAUUGUGUUUUGUAUGCUGCAUUUUAUAUUUUUUGUGUUUCAAUCUUUGACUUCAUUUAACCCCACUGCAGAUUCAUCUGUUUGGUAGCGUUAACCUUUUGUUUCAAAUCGUAUUCAUUUUUAGUGUAAUGUUUUGUUUAUGUUUCGAUUACAUGGUCUUGGCCCUAACUUAGAUUUAUGUUUUUGAUCAUUCUUUUACACGUGCAAAUUGUCGAACUGUUUGUUUGUGUAAGUACUGACCUGUUGUUUGUAACUAACAUUUUGCUCUGUGAAUGAAGCAGUCACGGGGGUGGCAAAAACUGUAACGAAAUGAGUUAUUCUGACACCUAAUUCCGUGAUUGUCUUUGACAUUUAACUAUGGGCUUGAAACCUUGAACGAGGGGCGAGUUAUAUAUCUCGGGGACGAGAUUCUACUAAUAAAAACUUUGGUUUAGAAUCUAUCUGCGAUAAAUUAGUUGAUUAGAUGAAUCACAUCCUGUGUAUUUCACCCUUUCUCAGAAUUUUGGUACUUGUUUACCUGACCCAUUGUUCCCAAAACUUGUUUUGAACCUAUAGGUCACCUAAGCCUAUUAUGCUACAUAUUAUUUUGUUGAUAUGAUUUUGUCAUGCAUUCAUAUAAUUACAAACAAUUAAUUUUGCUACACAAUUUAAUAUUAAUUUGUCGGCUAGUUUUUUUCUUAAGUUCUUUUUUUCCAGCCAUUUGCACAAUUUAUUCUUGCAAUGUAAUGUAUUUCGACUUAAAUUUCUGAACUUUCACAAACUUCACAAUAUGAGUAGUAAUUAAACAAACUUUUCACUAUUUCAGUGUUUUAUUUUACCUUCCUUUCCAUCCGUACUUCAGGUCAUUUAUAACAAACGUAAGCGGGUCUUGGCUUACUGUUUUUAAAUGUACUUAAAAAAAAUGUUAUCUCAACUCCAUGAAUGUAUGACAAUGUCUAUGUCAAAAUACUUUAUCGCAGACAAUAAAGGUGUUAUUAUUAUUAAAUAAUUCAGAUAUUGGCGUUUAUUAUAAAACAUUUGAAAAAGAAAGUAGGUAAAAUUGGUUGCUAUUAUCUUAAGGGGUAUUGGUAGGGUAUUUAAUUUUAUCUAUUAUUUUCUUCCUAUUUAUUUAUUUGUUUAUGUUGGAACCCUUAAAAACCGAAACAACUGGAAACAAAAUAAUUCUAUACUUAAGUAGUGCAGAACCAGAACCUAUAAUUCAUAUGGGUAAUGGCAAUGUUCCUCACUGCGCUUUAAAAACAAAUAACGUUAUUAGAACCGCAAGACAAAAUUUACAAAGCAAAGAAAAUUGUCGACUACUUCAAUUUUGGACUGAAAAGAGAAAAAUUCAGUUCAAGUUUUUCAUAAUUAUCAUCUUUUCAAGCGGAUUUCGCCAUUGCUUAAUUUAUUUUGCGAAAAGUGAUUUAUUAGGGGGUGAUUUUACGCGAAUUCUCCGAAGUAAGAUCACUCCCCCUUUAACGGGGGGCAAGAAAAAGAUCCUAAUCUCUCGACAUUUGGAUAAUGUAUCAAAUUUUU